rnacentral:rRNA from 1 species
GCAAGUCGAGCGGACAGAUGGGAGCUUGCUCCCUGAUGUUAGCGGCGGACGGGUGAGUAACACGUGGGUAACCUGCCUGUAAGACUGGGAUAACUCCGGGAAACCGGGGCUAAUACCGGAUGGUUGUUUGAACCGCAUGGUUCAAACAUAAAAGGUGGCUUCGGCUACCACUUACAGAUGGACCCGCGGCGCAUUAGCUAGUUGGUGAGGUAACGGCUCACCAAGGCAACGAUGCGUAGCCGACCUGAGAGGGUGAUCGGCCACACUGGGACUGAGACACGGCCCAGACUCCUACGGGAGGCAGCAGUAGGGAAUCUUCCGCAAUGGACGAAAGUCUGACGGAGCAACGCCGCGUGAGUGAUGAAGGUUUUCGGAUCGUAAAGCUCUGUUGUUAGGGAAGAACAAGUACCGUUCGAAUAGGGCGGUACCUUGACGGUACCUAACCAGAAAGCCACGGCUAACUACGUGCCAGCAGCCGCGGUAAUACGUAGGUGGCAAGCGUUGUCCGGAAUUAUUGGGCGUAAAGGGCUCGCAGGCGGUUUCUUAAGUCUGAUGUGAAAGCCCCCGGCUCAACCGGGGAGGGUCAUUGGAAACUGGGGAACUUGAGUGCAGAAGAGGAGAGUGGAAUUCCACGUGUAGCGGUGAAAUGCGUAGAGAUGUGGAGGAACACCAGUGGCGAAGGCGACUCUCUGGUCUGUAACUGACGCUGAGGAGCGAAAGCGUGGGGAGCGAACAGGAUUAGAUACCCUGGUAGUCCACGCCGUAAACGAUGAGUGCUAAGUGUUAGGGGGUUUCCGCCCCUUAGUGCUGCAGCUAACGCAUUAAGCACUCCGCCUGGGGAGUACGGUCGCAAGACUGAAACUCAAAGGAAUUGACGGGGGCCCGCACAAGCGGUGGAGCAUGUGGUUUAAUUUGAAGCAACGCGAAGAACCUUACCAGGUCUUGACAUCCUUUGACAAUCCUAGAGAUAGGACGUCCCCUUCGGGGGCAGAGUGACAGGUGGUGCAUGGUUGUCGUCAGCUCGUGUCGUGAGAUGUUGGGUUAAGUCCCGCAACGAGCGCAACCCUUGAUUUUAGUUGCCAGCAUUCAGUUGGGCACUUUAAGGUGACUGCCGGUGACAAACCGGAGGAAGGUGGGGAUGACGUCAAAUCAUCAUGCCCCUUAUGACCUGGGCUACACACGUGCUACAAUGGACAGAACAAAGGGCAGCGAAACCGCGAGGUUAAGCCAAUCCCACAAAUCUGUUCUCAGUUCGGAUCGCAGUUUGCAACUCGACUGCGUGAAGCUGGAAUCGCUAGUAAUCGCGGAUCAGCAUGCCCCGGUGAAUACGUUCCCGGGCCUUGUACACACCCCCCGUCACACCCCGAGAGUUUGUAACACCCGAAGUCGGUGAGGUAACCUUUUAGGAGCCAGCC